AUUGAACGCUGGCGGCAGGCCUAACACAUGCAAGUCGAACGAGUGGCGGACGGGUGAGUAAUGUCUGGGAAACUGCCCGAUGGAGGGGGAUAACUACUGGAAACGGUAGCUAAUACCGCAUACCAUCGGAUGUGCCCAGAUGGGAUUAGCUAGUAGGUGGGGUAACGGCUCACCUAGGCGACGAUCCCUAGCUGGUCUGAGCGGAUGACCGGCCACACUGGCACUGAGACACGUUCCAGAUUCCGACGUGAGGCAGCAGUGGGGAAUAUUGCACAAUGGGCGGAAGCCUGAUGCAGCCAUGCCGCGUGUAUGAAGAAGGCCUUCGGGUUGUAAAGUACUUUCAGCGAGGAGGCGUUACUCGCAGAAGAAUCACCGGCUAACUCCGUGCCAGCAGCCGCAGUAAUAC
rnacentral:rRNA from 1 species